AAAUUCUGCUCACUCACAGAUGCAACCUCCCUGAUGUGAUCACAGCUCCCUCUCCUUCUACUUGCUCCUCCAUCCUCUCGUCCAGCAGCAACCAGCAACGCCGCCGACAGCCAACGCCUCCACUGAAACCCCCCACACCAUCUUUCAUCCCCUUCCCCUUCUCCAGCAGCCCAGCCCCCAUUCUACCCCGACUAUUUCUCAACACGUGUCAAAAAAUUGGGAAAAGAAGCUCUUAAUUUCCAUGAAAUUCUAGGGAUGACCGAACAUAUGGGAUCCAAUUAAGGGAUUUCUACCUGCAUGAAUUCUCAGUAAACAACAAACUGACCCUUGAGUUGGGAUCUAUUUCUCCAUACAUUGUACGUCCAGUGCGUUUGAGAUUGCAUAUACCCUGGGCUAUCAACAAAGGACGCAAUUGUUUUGCCACGAAACUCCAUAAUUCGUCCAUUAAAAGAGUACCCAGUUGAGAAUUACAAUUCAUAUAUCUCUAUCAAAGCCUCAGAUAAAUUAUUCUGCCAUAAAUAUUGAAGUUAAUUUAUGAAUGAAUUCCUCAUUGGAUCUUUAAUUAAAAAGGGGCAAUCGACUGAGAAGAGAAAAGGGAAGGCAAUAGCCAACGGAUCUUGGCAAUUGGGGGAGAUCGAUGGCGGUUGGGUAAGGGGAAGGGACCAAGUUCUGGCUCAGUUUGGAUAGGGCCACCUAUACAGUUCGGUAGCAACGAGAAGGGGAAGGGGCUUGAUCAGGUGAGGGAAGGCACAUGUGUGUUGCACAAAUUUGUGUUGUGGCAGCCCUCUACAGCAUUUACAUUUAUUCCAGUUGGGUUGGGGGCUCGUGGUUGGCACUGGAUGAAGGAGCAGGUAGAAGAAGAGGGAGCCGUGAUCACAUAAGGGAGGUUGCAUGUGUGAAAGUAAGCAGAAAUUACGUGGGGACGAGUUUCGGUGAGGUGUCGUUAGUUUAGCGGGUGUCCGUUCUACACUAGAUGAACAGAGGGGCCGUGCAAAAUUUAAUCUCAACUACAUAAAUCAAAAAGUUUUGAAACGCCUGCAACUGAAUGAGUGAUACAGAGACUUAAACAGCGGCAGUUUUAAAUGGUGCUAACAGGAAAUGAUUUUCUUUGGACCUUGUUGAUCCAAUUGGUUUUGGAGCACUAACGUCCGGUAACCUUCUAUCCAAUCUCCACCCAAAAAUUAAAGAAAACUAAUUAAUUUUCAGGGAAGCUGGGUUGGGGCCUGUUCAACCUUGAAAUAUCCUUCCUAUAACAAAAAACCUGACAAUAUCCUAGGCAAGCUUAAAUAAUAUGAGCCUGCAAAGAUGAAAAUGGUGUGAGCUAGACCAGGACUUUAAUGUAGCCAAAUGAAAAUUGUUACUUAGAGAGAGAGAGAGAGAGAGAGAGAGAGAGAGAGAGAGAGAGAGAGAGAAGAGGUUAAAAAAAAACAGGUACAGAAUAUCUCCCAAUAAAUGGUUCUAAAACUGCAUCAGAUAUUUGGCAAUUAAGGCUCCCACACAAACGAACUAUAAGAAGCACACUACGUGACUACGACAAAUUG